GGGGGCGAAACGGUUUCGACGGGGAUAAGGAAGCUUAAGCUGCAUACCGAGGUUCCAUCACCCUCGUAAAACAGAUGGGCUAAAACAAACGCAGACGAUUAUGCGUACGCCUUAGCCGCAUAAAGACGGCUAACGUCCUUUCGGUCAGUCCUGCGGGGCCGAAAAGGGCGUCGACUCAGCAGGAUAGCCGCUUCGACAGACCUGUGGGUCGAAGGGGCGAAACUUAUCACAGGGUAGUUCCCUGGCGACCUCGCCCGAUAGGGAACCAGGGAGCGAAAAAUCAGUAUCGGGCUAUGUAUGUAGAGGCUUAAGUGGAAUAUUUCCGGACCCGGGUUCGACUCCCGGCGCCUCCACCA
rnacentral:tmRNA from 1 species